rnacentral:rRNA from 1 species
AUGGUACAAAACUUUUGGUGGGGUGCAUCGGAAGGCAAACGGAAAACACAUUGGUUGGCAUGGCCGAAGAUACAAGCUCACAAAAGCAAGGGCGGCUUGGGAUUCAGAGAUUUUCACCUCUUCAACCAUGCUCUCCUAGCGAGACAAGCCUGACGCCUGUUAACUAAUCCCAACAACUUGUGUGCGCGGGUUCUAAAGGCACAGUACUACCCAGAGGGGCGCCUCGAAGACACGGUCUUCUCGGGGAAUGCAUCCCCGACUUGGCAGGCGAUUUAGCAUGGCCUUGAGCUCUUGAAGAAGGGCAUCAUAUGGCGCAUCGGGGACGGGUGGAACAUCCGCAUAUGGCGCGACCGGUGGCUACCC